AUACCCUGGUAGUCCAUGCCGUAAACGAUGAAUGCUAGGUGUUGGAGGGUUUCCGCCCUUCAGUGCCGCAGCUAACGCAUUAAGCAUUCCGCCUGGGGAGUACGACCGCAAGGUUGAAACUCAAAGGAAUUGACGGGGGCCCGCACAAGCGGUGGAGCAUGUGGUUUAAUUCGAAGCAACGCGAAGAACCUUACCAGGUCUUGACAUCUUUUGAUCACCUGAGAGAUCAGGUUUCCCCUUCGGGGGCAAAAUGACAGGUGGUGCAUGGUUGUCGUCAGCUCGUGUCGUGAGAUGUUGGGUUAAGUCCCGCAACGAGCGCAACCCUUAUGACUAGUUGCCAGCAUUUAGUUGGGCACUCUAGUAAGACUGCCGGUGACAAACCGGAGGAAGGUGGGGAUGACGUCAAAUCAUCAUGCCCCUUAUGACCUGGGCUACACACGUGCUACGA
rnacentral:rRNA from 2 species